ACGUCAGCAUCUCUCAGCUUUUUCUUUCCUCCAUGGUCAGAGCACCCGCAGAUAUAAAAGGCCCGCUUGCACGCACUGAGCAUAGUUACGUAAUCGGUUUUUAGGAAACCCCAUGCUUCUCUUCGCGGUCUCGCAAUGGCGAAAGUUGCUUCCUUUGAAUGUCAGUACUGCGACCGGCGGUUAGCGAACAAUCGCAGUCUGCAGAGGCACAUAAAACUUGUGCACAAAAUCACUCACCCGAAGUACAACUGCGACGAGUGUGAAGUAGCCCUGACUUUGAAAGAACUGGAGUACCGCCAUAUCAGCGUGCAUUUCUUCGAGCCGGAAUAUGAGAGGUAUCACUUUCUGACAAUGCCAGCUUUCAAGUCAUAGAAGGAAAAGGUGGAGAAAGACGCACGCAGUCACUUCAUUGCAAGGACAGGUACAGAGACUUGCGGCCACCUGAAAAAGAAGCAUUUCUACUUCGUCUGUCACCGGUCUGGAAGUUAUGCUUCACAAGCUACAAGUAAACAAAAGCUGAAGCGGCCUUCAAGUGUCAAGUGUGGAAAAAGAUGUUUUGCGGCAAUGGCUGUGACUGAAGACAACACAGGGCACUAAACUUCAGUAAAAAAAAAUUUUAUGAGCCGCACAUUCUAGCAGACAAAAUAAACUGCAAGUACAUUGCUGGAGAAAAAGAAUGUCUCAUGUUGGUCUUGCAUAUAUAAGUUACACUGUUCUACAAUACACUUGGACGAAAAUGAAAGAAAAUGGUGGCACCUAUGGUUUGGAAAAUAUGGUACCUAAAUAUUUUGAAUGCUCAUGAAUCAGCUAUGUGAAUGAAACAUGAUUGAAACAAUCACGAUAAUUAGGCUUAUACCCCUGUCGCACGGCGAAAACUAAUGUCAUUUGAAAAUGAUGACAAUGACGAUAGUAAAAAAAAAAAAGACA